rnacentral:rRNA from 1 species
CGGGUAGAGUAACACGUGGGCAAUCUGCCCUCAAGUAGGGAAUAACGCUGCGAAAGCAGUGCUAAUACCGCAUACCCUCUGCAAAGAGGAAAGCGAAAGCGCUUGAGGAGGAGCCCGCGGCUGAUUAGCUAGAUGGUGGGGUAACGGCCUACCAUGGCGAUGAUCAGUAGCCGGCCUGAGAGGGCGGACGGCCACACUGGGACUGAGACACGGCCCAG